CUGCCCAGCAGAAAGACCCGCGAAC
rnacentral:rRNA from 2 species